rnacentral:rRNA from 1 species
GCAAAUUGCACUCUCGGGAUAAACCUGGGAGUACUCUUCUUUCAGUAUCGGUUCUAUCUUAUCUCGGCUGCGUGCUUCACAGUACGGCCAGUCCGGACACUGAGCGUCACGACUUGUUCACUCAUGGUCGUGUUGCUUGAAAGGUAGAAAGCUCUCCAAUGGAAUUCAAUUUCAUUAUUUCCCUUUAUUGGGGAGGACUAGUGACGUGGUUAAGUUCGCUUCAGUGCGACCCUCCCAUCGUCAUCCUGCUGGUCUUCGAAUUCCGCCGGUUUCGAGCUUUAACUUGGCCCCUCUUCAGUCCCGUUCGGUCGGUGGCGAGGGACGGCCUAACAUACCAUUUACGAAAUCAGAUCUGAAAUGAAGUGAGAGGACCCGCUGAACUUAAGCAUAUCAUUAAGCGGAGGAAAAGAAAAUAACAAUGAUUCCC